AUUGCCCUAGUAACGGCGAGUGAAGCGGCAACAGCUCAAAUUUGAAAUCUGGCUCUUUCAGGGUCCGAGUUGUAAUUUGCAGAGGGCGCUUUGGCUUUGGCAGCGGUCCAAGUUCCUUGGAACAGGACGUCACAGAGGGUGAGAAUCCCGUACGUGGUCGCUAGCUAUUGCCGUGUAAAGCCCCUUCGACGAGUCGAGUUGUUUGGGAAUGCAGCUCUAAAUGGGAGGUAAAUUUCUUCUAAAGCUAAAUACUGGCCAGAGACCGAUAGCGCACAAGUAGAGUGAUCGAAAGAUGAAAAGCACUUUGGAAAGAGAGUCAAACAGCACGUGAAAUUGUUGAAAGGGAAGCGCUUGCAGCCAGACUUGCUUGCAGUUGCUCAUCCGGGCUUUUGCCCGGUGCACUCUUCUGCAGGCAGGCCAGCAUCAGUUUGGGCGGUGGGAUAAAGGUCUCUGUCACGUACCUCUCUUCGGGGAGGCCUUAUAGGGGAGACGACAUACCACCAGCCUGGACUGAGGUCCGCGCAUUCGCUAGGAUGCUGGCGUAAUGGCUGUAAGCGGCCCGUCUUGAAACACGGACCAAGGAGUCUAACAUCUAUGCGAGUGUUUGGGUGUCAAGCCCGAACGCGUAAUGAAAGUGAACGGAGGUGGGAACCCGCAAGGGUGCACCAUCGACCGAUCCUGAUGUCUUCGGAAGGAUUUGAGUAAGAGCAUGGCUGUUGGGACCCGAAAGAUGGUGAACUAUGCUUGAAUAGGGUGAAGCCAGAGGAAACUCUGGUGGAGGCUCGCAGCGGUUCUGACGUGCAAAUCGAUCGUCAAAUUUGGGCAUAGGGGCGAAAGACUAAUCGAACUAUCUAGUA
rnacentral:rRNA from 2 species